rnacentral:rRNA from 1 species
UACAGAGGUCUCAAGCGUUGUUCGGAUUCAUUGGGCGUAAAGGGUGUGUAGGUGGCGCGCUAAGUCGGGUGUGAAAUUUCGGAGCUUAACUCCGAAACUGCAUUCGAUACUGGCGUGCUUGAGGACUGGAGAGGAGACUGGAAUUCAUGGUGUAGCAGUGAAAUGCGUAGAGAUCAUGAGGAAGACCAGUGGCGAAGGCGGCUCACUGGCCCGAUACUGACGCUGAGGCACGAAAGCGUGGGGAGCAAACAGG